GACGAACGCUGGCGGCGUGCUUAACACAUGCAAGUCGAACGAAGUGGCGAACGGGUGAGUAACGCGUAAUCAACCUGCCCUUCAGAGGGGGACAACAGUUGGAAACGACUGCUAAUACCGCAUACUGAAGGAGGGGAGUGCGUCUGCUUAGCUAGUUGGAGGGGUAACGGCCCACCAAGGCGAUGAUCAGUAGCCGGUCUGAGAGGAUGAACCGCCACAUUGGGACUGAGAAACGGCCCAGAAUCCUACGGGAGGCAGCAGGGGGGAAUCUUCCGAAAUUGACGAAAGUCUGACGGAGCAACGCCGGGGGAGUGAUGACGGCCUUCGGGUUGUAAAGCUCUGUUAAUCGGGACGCGGUACCGGAAUAGAAAGCCACGGCUAACUCCGUGCCAGCAGCCGCGGUAAUUC
rnacentral:rRNA from 1 species